GCGACUGAAAGGAGACGCUGGACAGGAAGGCCGGAGAGAGCAGCAGGGAGUCAGACGGAAGUAGACUAACAGGCAGAGUACUUCUAUGAGUUCCUGUCGCUGCGCUCGCUGGAUAAAGGCAUCAUGGCAGACCCAACUGUCAAUGUCCCUCGGCUGGGAACAGUGCCUCACAAGGCAUCAGCUCAUGAGAACUCAUUAAGUCAUCAGCUCAGUUCGCUGCAUGGCUACUUUGGCUGAGCCUCCAAUAAAACUCAAAUCAUUACA
rnacentral:lncRNA from 1 species